rnacentral:SRP_RNA from 1 species
GCAGGGAGCGGUGGUGCAGGCCUGUAGUUUCAGCUACUCAGAGGCUGAGACAGGAGGAUCACUCAAGCACAGGAGUUCUAGGCUGCAGUACGCUAUGCCGAUCGGGUGUCCACACUCAGUUCGGCAUCAAUAUGGUGACUUCCUGGGAGCAGGGACCACCAGGUUGCCUAAAGAGGGGUGAACUGGCCCAGGUCAGAAAUGGAGCAGGUCAAAAAAUACAAGUAAGAGCAAGAGGGCUUAGGACUCAGGAGUCCAGGAUCCAAGGUAUGCCCUGUCACUAGACGUCUGUGUGC